rnacentral:rRNA from 1 species
UACAGAGGUCUCAAGCGUUAUCCGGAAUGAUUGGGCGUAAAGGGUCCGCAGGUGGCAGUGUAAGUCUGCUGUCAAAGAAUGAGGCUUAACCUCAUCAAGGCAGUGGAAACUACACAGCUAGAGUACAGUCGGGGUAGAAGGAAUUCCUGGUGUAGCGGUGAAAUGCGUAGAGAUCAGGAAGAACACCGGUGGCGAAAGCGUUCUGCUAGACCUGUACUGACACUGAGGGACGAAAGCUAGGGGAGCGAAUGGG